rnacentral:rRNA from 1 species
AUGAACGCUGGCGGCGUGCUUAACACAUGCAAGUCGAACGAACCUUCGGGUUAGUGGCGGACGGGUGAGUAACGCGUGGGAAUCUGCCCUCAGGAGGGGGAUAACGGUUGGAAACGACCGCUAAUACCCCAUAUGCCGAGAGGUGAAAUGAAUUUCGCCUGAGGAUGAGCCCGCGUCUGAUUAGCUUGUUGGUGAGGUAAUGGCUCACCAAGGCUUCGAUCAGUAGCUGGUCUGAGAGGAUGAUCAGCCACACUGGGACUGAGACACGGCCCAGACUCCUACGGGAGGCAGCAGUGGGGAAUUUUCCGCAAUGGGCGAAAGCCUGACGGAGCAACGCCGCGUGAGGGAUGAAGGCCUCUGGGCUGUAAACCUCUUUUCUCAAGGAAGAAGAUAUGACGGUACUUGAGGAAUAAGCCACGGCUAAUUCCGUGCCAGCAGCCGCGGUAAUACGGGAGUGGCAAGCGUUAUCCGGAAUUAUUGGGCGUAAAGCGUCCGCAGGCGGCCUUUCAAGUCUGCUGUUAAAACGUGGAGCUUAACUCCAUCAAGGCAGUGGAAACUGUUGGGCUUGAGUGUGGUAGGGGCAGAGGGAAUUCCCGGUGUAGCGGUGAAAUGCGUAGAUAUCGGGAAGAACACCAGUGGCGAAGGCGCUCUGCUGGGCCAUAACUGACGCUCAUGGACGAAAGCCAGGGGAGCGAAAGGGAUUAGAUACCCCUGUAGUCCUGGCCGUAAACGAUGAACACUAGGUGUCGGGGGAAUCGACCCCCUCGGUGUCGUAGCCAACGCGUUAAGUGUUCCGCCUGGGGAGUACGCACGCAAGUGUGAAACUCAAAGGAAUUGACGGGGGCCCGCACAAGCGGUGGAGUAUGUGGUUUAAUUCGAUGCAACGCGAAGAACCUUACCAGGGUUUGACAUCCUGCGAACCUCUAAGAAAUUGGAGGGUGCCUUCGGGAACGCAGUGACAGGUGGUGCAUGGCUGUCGUCAGCUCGUGUCGUGAGAUGUUGGGUUAAGUCCCGCAACGAGCGCAACCCACGUUUUUAGUUGCCAGCAUUCAGUUGGGCACUCUAGAGAGACCGCCGGUGAUAAACCGGAGGAAGGUGUGGAUGACGUCAAGUCAUCAUGCCCCUUACAUCCUGGGCUACACACGUACUACAAUGCUACGGACAAAGGGCAGCAAACUCGCGAGGGCAAGCAAAUCCCAUAAACCGUGGCUCAGUUCAGAUCGUAGGCUGCAACUCGCCUACGUGAAGGAGGAAUCGCUAGUAAUCGCAGGUCAGCAUACUGCGGUGAAUACGUUCCCGGGCCUUGUACACACCGCCCGUCACACCAUGGAAGUUGGCCACGCCCGAAGUCGUUACUCCAACCCUUGUGGAGGAGGACGCCGAAGGUGGGGCUGAUGACUGGGGUGAAGUCGUAACAAGGUAGCCGUACC